GGGGGCGUCGGCUAGCUUGGCUAGGCUCCGUGGCUCGGGCGCGUGAGACCUGGGUUCGAAUCCCAGCGCCCCCA
rnacentral:tRNA from 1 species